rnacentral:rRNA from 1 species
UAGGGAAUAUUGGUCAAUGGGCGAGAGCCUGAACCAGCCAUGCCGCGUGCAGGAAGACGGCCUUCUGGGUUGUAAACUGCUUUUCUACGGGAAGAAAAUGCCCUUGCGAGGGAAAUUGCCGGUACCGUAGGAAUAAGCACCGGCUAACUCCGUGCCAGCAGCCGCGGUAAUACGGAGGGUGCAAGCGUUGUCCGGAUUUAUUGGGUUUAAAGGGUGCGUAGGCGGAUCUUUAAGUCAGUGGUGAAAGCCUGCAGCUUAACUGUAGAACUGCCAUUGAUACUGGAGGUCUUGAGUACACUAGAGGUAGGCGGAAUUUAUGGUGUAGCGGUGAAAUGCAUAGAUACCAUAAAGAACACCUAUAGCGUAGGCAGCUUACUGGAGUGUAACUGACGCUGAGGCACGAAAGCAUGGGGAGCGAACAGG